GCGCCUUUAGCUCAGUUGGUAGAGCACUGGACUUUUAAUCCAUUGGUCGCGGGUUCGAACCCCGCAGGGCGCACCA
rnacentral:tRNA from 4 species